GAUGAACGCUGGCGGCGUGCCUAAUACAUGCAAGUCGAGCGAACAGACGAGGAGCUUGCUCCUCUGACGUUAGCGGCGGACGGGUGAGUAACACGUGGAUAACCUACCUAUAAGACUGGGAUAACUUCGGGAAACCGGAGCUAAUACCGGAUAACAUGUUGAACCGCAUGGUUCAACAGUGAAAGACGGUCUUGCUGUCACUUAUAGAUGGAUCCGCGCCGCAUUAGCUAGUUGGUAAGGUAACGGCUUACCAAGGCAACGAUGCGUAGCCGACCUGAGAGGGUGAUCGGCCACACUGGAACUGAGACACGGUCCAGACUCCUACGGGAGGCAGCAGUAGGGAAGCUUCCGCAAUGGGCGAAAGCCUGACGGAGCAACGCCGCGUGAGUGAAGAAGGUCUUCGGAUCGUAAAACUCUGUUAUUAGGGAAGAACAAAUGUGUAAGUAACUAUGCACGUCUUGACGGUACCUAAUCAGAAAGCCACGGCUAACUACGUG
rnacentral:rRNA from 1 species